ACGAACGCUGGCGGCGUGCUUAACACAUGCAAGUCGAACGGAAAGGCCCUGCUUUUGUGGGGUGCUCGAGUGGCGAACGGGUGAGUAACACGUGAGUAACCUGCCCUUGACUUUGGGAUAACUUCAGGAAACUGGGGCUAAUACCGGAUAGGAGCUCCUGCUGCAUGGUGGGGGUUGGAAAGUUUCGGCGGUUGGGGAUGGACUCGCGGCUUAUCAGCUUGUUGGUGGGGUAGUGGCUUACCAAGGCUUUGACGGGUAGCCGGCCUGAGAGGGUGACCGGCCACAUUGGGACUGAGAUACGGCCCAGACUCCUACGGGAGGCAGCAGUGGGGAAUAUUGCACAACGGGCGGAAGCCUGAUGCAGCAACGCCGCGUGCGGGAUGACGGCCUUCGGGUUGUAAACCGCUUUCGCCUGUGACGAAGCGUGAGUGACGGUAAUGGGUAAAGAAGCACCGGCUAACUACGU
rnacentral:rRNA from 1 species